rnacentral:rRNA from 1 species
GACGAACGCUGGCGGCGUGCUUAACACAUGCAAGUCGAGCGGUAAGGCCCUUUCGGGGGUACACGAGCGGCGAACGGGUGAGUAACACGUGGGUGACCUGCCCUCAGCUCUGGGAUAAGCCCGGGAAACUGGGUCUAAUACCGGAUAUGACUUCAUGACGCAUGUUGUGGAGUGGAAAGCCUUGUGCGGCUGAGGAUGGGCCCGCGGCCUAUCAGCUUGUUGGUGGGGUGAUGGCCUACCAAGGCGACGACGGUA